rnacentral:tRNA from 1 species
CAUCAUUAAGAAGCUAUGCAUUAGCACUAGCCUUUUAAGCUAGACAAAGAGGGACCCGCCCCCUCCUUAAUGA